GAAGACUUCAUGUGCUUGGAAUUGACAUCCCUUGAACUCACUGGUUUGAAGCCUGUUGGUUAUCUUCAAUCUGUCUACCAUUAUGGUUUUGCCAGGGUGUGGCCACUGUGCAUGCUACAACUUUUUGGAGCCACAGAUGAUGAAACAGCCCCUGAGAGGAAAUGACCUGGGCACAAACCGAAUCCUCUAAACUCCACCUUUAGCAUUCUCCUGGAUUCAGCAUCUAGAAGUUUCUAAGGAUUCAAAUGCUUUAGGGGUAAAGACCCAGGAUCUAGAUGAAGGAAUGACAUUUUUCAUUGUAACCAAAUAGUCAAACACUGUGUCAAAGCAACCAGAUACUGUGGCCAGAGAAACAGCAUGGUUGGUUUCCUUCUAUAGAUUCGGCCCCUUUUUCUGGAAUAUCUCCAAUCUUUGACUUCCUGAUUAUAAAAUUCCUGGAUGAAAAAGUCCCCUCCACUGUAUUGGGUUUUCUGACUGUUGCCAAGAAAAUGCUCACCUUUGUUUUUUGG